AUGAUGGGCGCCAGGGCCAACGCCAGCGCCAACGCGGCCGACUGCGGGGAGUACGCGGAGCUCGACCCCACCGGCCGGUACGGAAGGUACAACGACGUCCUCGGCAAGGGCGCGUCCAAGACCGUGUACCGGGCGUUCGACGAGUACCAGGGGAUGGAGGUGGCGUGGAACCAGGUGAAGCUGUACGACUUCCUGCAGUGCCCCGACGACCUGGAGCGCCUCUACUGCGAGAUCCACCUCCUCAAGACGCUCAAGCACAAGAACAUCAUGAAGUUCUACACCUCCUGGGUCGACGUCUCUGCCCGCCACAUCAACUUCAUCACCGAGAUGUUCACCUCCGGCACGCUCCGCCAGUACAGGCAGAAGCACAGGAAGGUGAACAUAUGGGCGGUCAAGGACUGGUGCCGGCAGAUCCUCAGCGGCCUGCUGUACCUACACAGCCACAAUCCACCCAUCAUCCACCGGGACCUCAAGUGCGACAACAUCUUCGUCAAUGGUAACCAGGGUGAGGUCAAGAUCGGCGACCUCGGCCUCGCCGCCAUCCUCCGCAAGUCCCACGCUGUUCACUGCGUAGGUACGCCUGAGUUCAUGGCGCCGGAGGUGUACGCCGAGGAGUACAACGAGCUGGUGGACAUAUACUCCUUCGGGAUGUGCGUGCUUGAGAUGGUCACCUUCGAGUACCCGUAUAGCGAAUGCUCGCACCCGGUGCAGAUCUACAAGAGAGUGAUCUCUGGUACUAAGCCUGAAGCUUUGUACAAGGUGAAAGAUCCAAUGGUGAGGCAAUUUGUCGAGAAAUGCCUGACCACUGCUUCCGAGAGGCUCACGGCAAGAGAGCUGCUCAAUGACCCUUUCCUGCGCAUUGAUGGCAUGGCUCUAUGUUCUGGGGAUGGGGAUUACACCCUGUUGAACAAUUACCUUCGGCAGCCCUACCUAAGGCAUGCUUAUAGUAAUGGGUCUGUGAUGAGCAAUGGGUUCUCAGAAAGCAUUGACGAAGGUGCACCAACGGAGUUUGAAGAUGACGACACUAAAGCCGAUGGCAUUGAUCUGUUCAACGGCCACGAAGAUGAGCCUCUUGGCACUGUGGACAUCGCAAUCAAAGGGAGAAAAAGUGAGGAUGGAGGAAUCUUCCUCAGACUACGAAUUACUGAUGAUGAUGGCCGGGUACGCAACAUCUAUUUUCCUUUCGAUGUUGAGGCUGAUACUGCAUUAAGUGUGGCAACUGAGAUGAUAGGCGAGCUGGACAUAACUGACCAUGAGGUUACUCGUAUCGCUGACAUGAUCGAUGGUGAGCUUAGUGCGCUGGUGCCAGAUUGGAUGGCCGGUCCAGGCAUAGAGGAAGCUCCAGACGCUGCAUACUGCCAUAACUGUGGAUCCAAUGUGUCAUCAUGUGGUUCGCUUUUUGACUACAUGUCGUCGACUUCUCGUGGUUGCCGAUGCGCAGAACUGCAUGGGAGGUUUGAGGAGAUCACGUUCCAAGCUGCCGAUGAAGAGCAAUCUGGUUUGCAUGACUCAGGGGGCAGCUCUGAUGAUGGAGGCGCGCAAAAGGAGCAACAUGUCAAAGACAAGGAACCCAUAUGCCUGAAUGGGUUUCCAAAGAUGGGUAGAAGAGGUCUUUCUGAUCGGCUUUGCUUCAGUUCUUUCCAGGAGCGGUCGUGCCCAACCGAGAAUUAUGAGAGCGAUGCCGAUCAUCAGCCUAAGGGGUUCGACAUAAAGCAUGAAGUGAAGAUGGCCAAGUACAAAGCACGGAAAAUGGCACACCUGAAGAGAGCUAUUCAUCCAUCUCUGGACUUCGACAACACCACGAAUGGAGCAAGCAGGACGAAGCCUACACUGAGCAAGCUGGAGUCUUUCCAUGUCGGUAAGCACCACAAUUUCCGUGUACCGACCUGCCAGCGAAGCCCCGGCACAGCAAGUAGCCCUGGCACAGCAAGCACCGAUCAGCAUCCAGGCAUGAGUAACCAAGUGUGUCCGAGCCCAGGAGCCCAAAGGGCCCUGCGCACCGAGAGCAGCCCGGAUUGUAUGUUCACAGCCAGAAACUAUUAUACUGGAGCUCAGUUGCCACCAAACCUCCCAAGAACAAAAUCUGUACCCCUAAGCGCCAUCGAUGCCUGA
rnacentral:rRNA from 1 species